GAUGAACGCUGGCGGCGUGCCUAACACAUGCAAGUCGAGCGAUUUACUUCGGUAAAGAGCGGCGGACGGGUGAGUAACGCGUGGGUAACCUGCCUCAUACACAUGGAUAACAUACCGAAAGGUAUGCUAAUACAAGAUGAUAUAAGAGAUUCGCAUGGAUUUCUUAUCAAAGCUCCGGCGGUAUGAGAUGGACCCGCGUCUGAUUAGCUAGUUGGUAAGGUAACGGCUUACCAAGGCGACGAUCAGUAGCCGACCUGAGAGGGUGAUCGGCCUCAUUGGAACUGAGACACGGUCCAAACUCCUACGGGAGGCAGCAGUGGGGAAUAUUGCACAAUGGGCGAAAGCCUGAUGCAGCAACGCCGCGUGAGCGAUGAAGGCCUUCGGGUCGUAAAGCUCUGUCCUCAAGGAAGAUAAUGACGGUACUUGAGGAGGAAGCCCCGGCUAACUACGUGCCAGCCGCCGCAGUAACAC
rnacentral:rRNA from 1 species